rnacentral:rRNA from 1 species
UACGGGGGGAGCAAGCGUUGUUCGGAUUUACUGGGCGUAAAGGGCGCGUAGGCGGUCGUGUCACGUCACUUGUGAAAUCUCCGGGCUUAACUCGGAACGGUCAAGUGAUACUGUCGGACUAGAGUACAGAAGGGGCAACUGGAAUUCUCGGUGUAGCGGUGAAAUGCGUAGAUAUCGAGAGGAACACCUGCGGCGAAGGCGGGUUGCUGGGCUGAUACUGACGCUGAGGCGCGAAAGCCAGGGGAGCGAACGGG